AGUGCCAGCACCCGCGGUCAAUACGAAGGGGGCUAGCGUUGCUCGGAAUGACUGGGNGUAAAGGGCGCGUAGGCGGAUUGUCUUGUCNGGCGUGAAAUUCCAGGGCUCAACCUGGGGGGGUCGUUCGAGACGGACAGUCCUAGAGUUUGGCAGAGGGUCGUGGAAUUACCCAGUGUAGAGGGUGAAAUUCGUAUAUAUUGGGAAGAACACCGGAUGGCGAAGGCGGCCGACCUGGUCCCUUGAUGACGCUGAGACGCAGAAACGCAGUGGGGAGCAAACAGAGUAUUANGAUCACCCUAUGUAUAUGUCUCACGCUGUAACASCAGAUGUGCCCUGGACUGUUGGGACCUCCUAGCCUUUCAGNGUCRUAGCUAACGCGGUAAGCACAC
rnacentral:rRNA from 1 species